UAUUGGUUAGCCUCUGUCCUGUUCUCAGCAACAUCAUGGUUUGAGCCCUACUUCCUUGAUUUCUUGUCUGACCCUAUUAUUUUAAUGACUCACCAGCAACUUUCUUCCUUUCGUGUGACUGACUGAAGUGUGGAAACUGCUGCUGUCACUUGAAAACUGAAAAGCCCGAUCUCCCCAUGCCAACAGCAGACAAGGGAGUGGGGCAGAAGACAUGUGGGAAGAUUGCUCUCUCAUCUCCUCCUUUUGACAGAUUUUUUUCCCACUGAAAAAAAACUUGGCUUCUUCAUCAUUGGUAGGAUCCUGUGUGCUGAGAGUAAGAGGCGUGUUAUUGCAAUUGCUGAAAACCAUAAACGGCAGAAGCUCCCCCAAAGGGUGCAUAAGAGCAGUGGAUUUUCAGAGACUGAGCAACAUUCUCUAUUCUUCAGAGACUGCCAAGAUUACAAAGAGCAGC